UACAGAGGUCUCAAGCGUUGUUCGGAUUCAUUGGGCGUAAAGGGCGCGUAGGUGGCGUCGUAAGUCGGGUGUGAAAUUUCGGAGCUUAACUCCGAAACUGCAUUCGAUACUGCGGUGCUUGAGGACUGGAGAGGAGACUGGAAUUUACGGUGUAGCAGUGAAAUGCGUAGAGAUCGUAGGGAAGACCAGUGGCGAAGGCGGGUCUCUGGACAGUUCCUGACACUGAGGCACGAAGGCCAGGGGAGCAAACGGG
rnacentral:rRNA from 1 species